rnacentral:misc_RNA from 1 species
AUCACUAAUCAAGCCCGGCUUGCUGUUGGACCUUUUGUCGUCAAAAGACAGGUCCUAAAGAUAAUGACGGCGUCUUCUUGACCCUGGAUACAACGAGCUUUAACCAGCAUGUAUCUACAGUGGACUUUUAGACCCGGUCUUUUUUUAACCAAUUCUUUUAGGUUGACCUCGGAUCAGGUAGGAAUACCCGCUGAACUUAA